rnacentral:rRNA from 1 species
AUUGAACGCUGGCGGAAUGCUUUACACAUGCAAGUCGAGCGGCAGCGCGGCCUUCGGGCUGGCGGCGAGCGGCGAACGGGUGAGUAAUGCAUCGGAACAUGCCCAGUCGUGGGGGAUAACACUUCGAAAGAAGUGCUAAUACCGCAUACGUCCUGAGGGGGAAAGCGGGGGAUCGCAAGACCUCGCGCGAUUGGAGUGGCCGAUGUCAGAUUAGCUAGUUGGUGGGGUAAAGGCCUACCAAGGCGACGAUCUGUAGCUGGUCUGAGAGGAUGAUCAGCCACACUGGGACUGAGACACGGCCCAGACUCCUACGGGAGGCAGCAGUGGGGAAUUUUGGACAAUGGGGGCAACCCUGAUCCAGCCAUUCCGCGUGAGUGAAGAAGGCCUUCGGGUUGUAAAGCUCUUUCGGCAGGAACGAAACGGCGGGCUCUAACAUAGUCCGCUAAUGACGGUACCUGAAGAAGAAGCACCGGCUAACUACGUG